rnacentral:misc_RNA from 1 species
AACCAUAGAAACCUGCGGAGUACCUGCGGAAGGAUCAUUCAAAAGUGUCUAAAUAUGGACAACUUUAUCCAUAUUCACCUUGUGUGCACUGUUUCACCGUUGACUUUGGCAUGUUUAUUGAGCUCGACGAAGGUUUUACCAACUUUCUGUGGUGCCUCAGACAUGUAAAAGAGGAAUCCUUAUGGAACUCUGCGCGUGUGGCAUGCCAAAGUUUUUAUCCAACGAAAACACUUGAAAUUU